CUCAACACCGUUCAGUCUUUCAUUACAUGUAACGCCCUCUAAAUAGCAUCGAUGGGUUGCUAGGGUAACAGUCAGGGUCCUUUCUAGAAAAAGAGCAUAAUUCAAUAGAAACGCCAGAUUCCGGAAGGUAACUAAGUAAUAGCAUAUCAUGGCAACAGUUGGACUUGGUUAAAAAUAACAACAUCAACAACGUGGAGGCAGUAGCAUCCCACACACUUUCUUAGCUAAGCAUCUGAUCAAGUACCUGACACUACAUACCCUGUAUGUUACACAUGUAACCAGAACAUUGCACUAUUCAACACAGUAACUAUCUGACACAUACUUAUCUGACAGUGGUACUCAAUCUCUGCUCGUCAAUCCAUCAGUCACAAGCACACAUACAAGAUAAUCAUCCCAAAUGGCAUUUACCCAUAAGGCUCUGGUCAAAAGUAGUGGCCUUUAUAGAGGAAAAUGUUCCAUUUGAGACACAGACAUAGUCACAGAGGUGACGUUAGGGAGGGUCACAGAGGUGACGGUCUGAGGCGCAUGUCCCGUUGCUGUGUCACCACAGUGACCCGGUGGGGGUGUCGGUCUAACAGAGGUAUGACAUCACAAAAACUCCACACGGGUUAAUGCUGCAUGAAUUGCAAAACUCCCUUUUAACUAAAGUACACAUUUAAAAUAAAAAAAAUAGAUAAAAAACAUGAGACAAAAAUAGAAGACAAAUAAGAACGAAGACAAACCCAGAUAACACAUAUUAGUUAAAAAGGUCUAUAAAAAUACUACUAUAGCUACGGUAGAAAGAGCAGCCCUGCAGGCCUCCGAGGUUACUUCAGAGGUUUCUCUCCAGAGGUUUCUCUCCAGAGGUUUCUCUCCAGAGGUUUCUCUCCAGAGGUUUCUCUCCAGAGGUUUCUCUCCAGAGGUUUCUCUCCAGAGGUUUCUCUCCAGAGGUUUCUCUCCAGAGGUUUCUCUCCAGAGGUUUCUCUCCAGAGGUUUCUCUCCAGAGGUUUCUCUCCAGAGGUUUCUCUCCAGAGGUUUCUCUCCAGAGGUUUUCCUCCAGAGGUUUCUCUCCAGAGGUUUCCCUCCAGAGGUUUCUCUCCAGAGGUUUUCCUCCAGAGGUUUCUCUCCAGAGGUUUUCCUCCAGAGGUUUCUCUCCAGAGGUUUCUCUCCAGAG